rnacentral:tRNA from 1 species
GGGGAUUUAGCUCAGCAGCAUAAGCGCCUGCCUUGCAAGCAGGUGGUCGUCAGUUCAAGCCCCA